rnacentral:sRNA from 1 species
UACAGAAGAUUUGGAAUAAGCAAAAAGCUUUAAAUCUAAUAGUCUAAACUGUUUGAUUUAAAGC